AAUGCCUACAUUAAGAAAGAAAGAUCACAAAUUCACAACAUAACUUUACACUACAAGGAAAUAAAAAAGAAGAAGAAGAAAAAUAAACUAAGCUCAAAGUUAGUAGAAGGAAGGAAAUAACAAAGAUUGGAGCAGAAAUAAACAGAAUUGAGACUAGAAAAGCAAUAGAAAUGAUAAAUGACACUGAGCUGGCAGCAGGAGAAUGUCUCCGCAGUGCACCCACAGGUUUCAGCAAGGCAGCAGGAGAGUGCCUUGCCUGUUGCGCACGCAUCAGCCUUAGGAAUGGGAGAACCAGGCAACCACUCACACUUGCCUGCUCCAGCCAGGGAGUCAGGGAAUACUGCAGGGCAGUGGGAUAAUGCCCUGCCCGCUCAGCCCUGCCUGUCUUAGCAAGGCAGUAGAAGGGUGCCACCUCCAAACCCAUCUACCUGCUAAGCAGGGUAGGUAGAGAAUGCAGUAAGAGCAUCCACCAACACCUCCAUCUCCAAGAAGACUUUCAACUGACUCUCCACAGAUGACUUUAGAUCAGCAAAUGAGUCCGCUUUCCGUAGAAGAGGCAUUUUUCAAACUGCUCUUUCUUUGCUGGGUCUCAGAGCAAGUGAAACUGCAGGCAAGCCCUUUGGAAGAGGCACCUCAGUUUCCUACAGUAUUUUGUGUCCUUGGACAUUAGCCCCAUUGGUUUUCUAACAGACAUUGUAGGGGUUCACCUCUUCAGUGCAGACCCCAUCAGUGUCCCCUGAUGUGAGACACCAACCCCUCAGUCCUCUGGGAGAAGCAAAGUACUAGUGAAAUCGUUCCAUAUUGUGUUUUGCCAUGCCAGNNNNNNNNNNNNNNNNNNNNNNNNNNNNNNNNNNNNNNNNNNNNNNNNNNNNNNNNNNNNNNNNNNNNNNNNNNNNNNNNNNNNNNNNNNNNNNNNNNNUGAAAUCGUUCCAUAUUGUGUUUUGCCAUGCCAGGGGUGGAGUUUUGCUGAGACUGUGUUUCUGCCUUUCCUACUCAACCUGAUGCAGUCCUUUUGUCUUUUAUUGUGGAGAAGCAGUUUGUCUAGUUUUCAGAUCUUCUUCAGAGGGAAAUGAUACAUAUGUAUCUAUAGAUUUGGUGUGUCCAUAGGAGAAAGUAAGUUCAGGAUCUUGCUACACUGCCAUCUUGGACCACCACCCCCUCCAGGUAAUUCUGAUAUAAACUAAAAUUUGAGAACCAGUGGGUUAGCCCAAGAGAACACAAGCAUUUGUGUGCAUAUGCACAGUACCUCACAGCCUUAUAGAUCUUGGGGGAAAGGGAGAGCAAUAAGAAAGAAAUGCCCCAAGAUGCCAUGAUGAGCUAAGGUAUCCUAUAAGAAAAAAUUUAACUUAACUGAAAUUUAGGACUUCCCUGGUGAUCCAGUGGUUAAGAAUUCCCCUUGCAAUGCAGGGGACACAGGAAGAUCCCACAUGCCCCAGAGCAACUGAGCCCACGUACCACAACUACUGAGCCUGAGUGCCUAGGGCCCCUGCUCCGCAGCAAGAGAAGCCACUGCAAUGAGAAGCCUGCUUACCACAAAGAGUAUCCCUCACUUCCACAAAGAGUAGCCCCGCCACAACUAGAGAAAACAUGAGCUUAGCCACGAAGACCCAGUGCAACCAAAAAUAAAUUUUAAAAAAAGAAGAGCUGAAAUUUAGAUAGUUGUGGGCUUCCCAGGUGGCGCUACUGGUAAAGUAGCCUGUCUGUGCAGGAGACAUGAGACCCAGGUUUGUUCCCUAAGUCAGGAAGACCCCUUGGAGAAGGACAUGACAACCCACUCCAGUAUUCUAACCUGGAGAAACCUGUGGACAGAGGAGCUGGGCAGGCUAUGCUCCAUAGGGUCACAGAGUCCAACACAACUGAAAUGACUUAGCAGAAGAUAGAUUUAACCCUCUAAAAAUCAGAAAUAUAUUAAAAAUAAUUAAGGAAUGUUCAAUUUACUUUAUGGUCAUCAUAUGAUAUUUUUAGUUAUUUGUCACAGACUUCUUUUUCCAUUCUUUCUCCUUUGGUUUAGGGAAGGCACCAUGGUUAAGUACAGAGGUUCUGGAGCCAGAUACUUCUAACUUCAAACCCA
ensembl:lncRNA